UACGUAGGGUGCAAGCGUUGUCCGGAAUUAUUGGGCGUAAAGAGCUCGUAGGCGGUUCGUCGCGUCGGCUGUGAAAACCUGAGGCUCAACCUCAGGCCUGCAGUCGAUACGGGCGGACUUGAGUACUGCAGGGGAGACUGGAAUUCCUGGUGUAGCGGUGAAAUGCGCAGAUAUCAGGAGGAACACCGGUGGCGAAGGCGGUUCUCUGGGCCUGUACUGACGCUGAGGAGCGAAAGCGUGGGGAGCAAACAGG
rnacentral:rRNA from 1 species